AUUGAACGCUGGCGGCAUGCCUUACACAUGCAAGUCGAACGGCAGCGCGGACUUCGGUCUGGCGGCGAGUGGCGAACGGGUGAGUAAUACAUCGGAACGUGCCCUGUUGUGGGGGAUAACUAGUCGAAAGAUUAGCUAAUACCGCAUACGACCUGAGGGUGAAAGCGGGGGACCGUAAGGCCUCGCGCAGCAGGAGCGGCCGAUGUCUGAUUAGCUAGUUGGUGGGGUAAAGGCCCACCAAGGCGACGAUCAGUAGCUGGUCUGAGAGGACGAUCAGCCACACUGGGACUGAGACACGGCCCAGACUCCUACGGGAGGCAGCAGUGGGGAAUUUUGGACAAUGGGGGCAACCCUGAUCCAGCAAUGCCGCGUGUGUGAAGAAGGCCUUCGGGUUGUAAAGCACUUUUGUCCGGAAAGAAAUGGCGCUGGUUAAUACCUGGCGUCGAUGACGGUACCGGAAGAAUAAGCACCGC
rnacentral:rRNA from 1 species